AGGCCUCAUGUACACACACGCGCGUAUGUUUCAUCUAGGAUCUUGAUUUACUUGGAUAACUGUGGUAAUUCUAGAGCUAAUACAUGCAACAAAGCUCCAACCUCGCGGGAGGAGCGCAUUUAUUAGACCAAGACCAAUCAGGCUUUGCCUGGAAUCUGGUGACUCUGAAUAACUUUGCUGAUCACACGGUCUAGCACCGGUGACAUAUCUUUCAAGUGUCUGCCCUAUCAACUUUCGAUGGUAGUUUAUGUGCCUACCAUGGUUGUAACGGGUAACGGAGAAUAAGGGUUCGACUCCGGAGAGGGAGCCUGAGAAAUGGCUACCACAUCCAAGGAAGGCAGCAGGCGCGCAAAUUACCCACUCUCAGCUCGAGGAGGUAGUGACGAAAAAUAACGAGACGGUUCUCUAUGAGGCCCGUCAUCGGAAUGGGUACAAUUUAAACCCUUUAACGAGGAUCUAUUGGAGGGCAAGUCUGGUGCCAGCAGCCGCGGUAAUUCCAGCUCCAAUAGCAUAUACCAAUUCUGUUGCUGUUAAAAAGCUCGUAGUUGGAUCGAUUCCAAGGAUGGAGUCUGCCUGUAGGGCAUGUACUCCACUCUGAGGAUACUUUCGCUGGUCUUCUCAUGGUGCUCUUUACUGGGUGCCUUGGGUGGCUAGCACGUUUACUUUGAAAAAAUUAGAGUGCUCAAAACAGGCGUAACUGCCCGAAUAGUGGUGCAUGGAAUAAUGGAAUAGGAUCUCGGUUCUAUUUUGUUGGUUUUAGGAGCGCGAGAUAAUGAUUAAGAGGGACAGACGGGGGCAUUCGUACUGCGGCGUUAGAGGUGAAAUUCUUGGAUCGCCGCAUGACGAACAACGCGAAAGCAUUGCGCU
rnacentral:rRNA from 1 species